rnacentral:sRNA from 1 species
UUGACAUCGUUGAUUCUUUGACCUAAUUUAGUGAGUAAGGGUAAGGGUAAGGGAGGAUGACUCCUCCCCUGAGACUGACUGUUAAUAAGCUCCGAAACUUAUCAGUAACAGUACAAUCAGUAUGAUGACAAGUCGCAUCAUAACCCUUCUCCUUUAA